CCACUGUGGCCCUGGAGGCUGAGGUAAGUGAUUUCUGGACUAUGUACAUGGCCUGGCUCAGCUCUCAGUAUAUAAAUUUGCAGACCAAUGUGAAUAGGUAACAACUGAAAAUGGUAUUGGAACAGUUGGAAGGUUUGCACAGGAAAAUUUGGGAGAUGUUUAUUACAGUCUGCCUGAAAUUGAGACAAAAUUAAACAAAUAAAAUGGAUUUUGGACAUUGGAAAGGGUGAAAGCUGCUACUGAACUUUGUUCUCUUCUAUCAGGAGAAGCAACCAAAAUUAAAGAAGCUCUUGCAGAAAAUCCAGCACUUGUCAACAAAUCUUGUUAUGAAUAGAGUUGGCUGAUCAAGGUGACACUCAGUAACCGUUAAAAACUAGAUGGAUUAAUGAAUGAAGAUAUAUAUAAGAAAUAUGUGAAAUCAACCAAGGAGUAA
rnacentral:lncRNA from 1 species